rnacentral:rRNA from 1 species
AUGGCGAUGGCGGAGGCGGAAAGCAAUGGCUUCGAGUUCCUGUCGGAUCCGGUCGACAGGUUUUCGCUGAUGGAUCUAUCCGGCGGCAAUUGCGUGCCCUCCAACGAAGCCAUUGAAGCUCUGAUCUGCGCCCCGUCCGAUUCCAGUAUGGGCGACGCUGGGGACAGAGCGCUGACAAUGGAGGCGGAUUUGAACAGUACUUGCGAUGAUGUGCCCCUGUCAGCGCCACCUUCAGAGCCGUCAACAGGGAAAGACGAUCCUCAAGGCACCUGGCUGGACAGAGAGAAGGACUCCGUUACCCUUCACAAAGCACAUCAUGGAAAGAGCACAGAAGUACGUAGGUGA